ACGAAAAACUCAAACCGGCGCAGUUACGCGCCAAGGGAAAUAUCGAAAUACAUGAGCCCUAUAUCGGGUUUUAUGGCAUGGGGUGCUGUUGCACACCGUGCGGUUGACAUGACUCUCGGCAAUGGAUAUCUCGGCUCUCGCAUCGAUGAAGAGCGCAGCGAAAUGCGAUACGUGGUGCGAAUUGCAGAAUCCCGCGAACCAUCGAGAAUUUGAACGCAAGUUGCGCCCGAGGCCAGCCGGCCAAGGGCACGUCCGCCUGGGCGUCAAGCGUUGCGUCGCUCCGUGCCAACUCCAGCCCACCCAACGGGUGCGCAUCGGCCGAGGCUCGGAUGUGUAGAGUGGCCCGUCGUGCCCGAUGGUGCGGCGGGCUGAAGAGUGGGUCAUCGUCUCAUCGGCCAUGAACAGCAAGGGGUGGAUGAAAGUUGUGCCUGUGCUGCGUCGUGCCGGCCCGAGAAGAGAUUAUACCUUCCAGGUGAUCCCAACCCAUGCGCCGAUCCAAUGGGCGGCGGCUUGGAAUGCGACCCCAGGAUGGGCGAGGCCACCCGCCGAGUUUAAGCAUAUCAAU
rnacentral:rRNA from 1 species